UACGUAGGGGGCAAGCGUUGUCCGGAUUUAUUGGGCGUAAAGAGCGUGUAGGCGGCCGUACAGGUCAGCUGUGAAAACUCGAGGCUCAACCUCGAGACGUCGGUUGAAACCGUACGGCUAGAGUCCGGAAGAGGAGAGUGGAAUUCCCGGUGUAGCGGUGAAAUGCGCAGAUAUCAGGAGGAACACCGGUGGCGAAGGCGGAUCUCUGGGCCAUUACUGACGCUGAGGAGCGAAAGCGUGGGGAGCGAACAGG
rnacentral:rRNA from 1 species